CUGGCUUUAGAGUGCCGCCACAGUGGCUCCUGGGGUUCAAACCUGACCCAUUCGGUGAUUCUGACGGCCGUGGAACUUCGAGUUGAUUCAAGAUGGCUGCUGCAGUUUUUGUGCAGAAUGGCUGAAGCUGCUGCAGUAUGUGAGUGAAGAAGCUUCGUGCCACAAGUUGAGAACCACUGGGUGAUAAAACAAAGGUCAUAUGCAGUGACCAUGAGGAGGGACGUACUUAUCGUGUUGGCACAGAGGCAGUUACUACUCAGGUUGCUAGACAGGUAUUUAUCACGGCUGCAUCUACAUGAAUUUCAAAAAGGAUAAUCCAUCUCUGCUAGGGAGAGAAUCUCUGCUCUUAACAUUAACCGGUACAAUCAUUAAUCAAAGUA